UAACAGACUGUGCAGAGAGGUAGAAAAGCACUCUCUUACUGAACUUCCAAAACUUAUGAGGGAAAAUUCAGGUUAAAAAAAUGAAAAACACUUCAGUCGGUUUAUGGUAAUCCAUGCAUCAGGUUUUCCAAGGUUACCCUGAACCCUGUUUCUGGAGCUUGCUGUACGUGUUUUCUUGUUCUCUCCGAUCAUUGUUUGGAUAGAGAAGCUGAAGACUGAAGCAGAAAUUUCCAGUGCCUGGGUAUGUGAAAUUCACCUUCUGGUGAUUUUCUUUUCACUGGAUGUGAAUGGCAACAGGUGGCCACAACUGGUACUGUGAGAAGCUGUGUAUUCCCUCAGCACCUUCAGCCAGUGACAAUAUAAUCCUCAAUUCACAUAUUAUAAAUUUAGAAAACAUUGGAAUGUGCAACUGAUCAUACCUAGGAGAUAUAUACACACUCUGAUCCCAGAAUACUGGCUUAUGUCAUUAAUGGCUUGUAUCAUGCUCUUUUCUAGCUGCAGAAUUGCAAAUGUUUACCAUUUUAACUAUUUUAGCCAACUGCUUAAAGAACAACAAAAUGUAAAUAAAGAAAACAUAAUGGCAACAGUGAAAAAUGAAUGUUAAACCACUCUGAGGGAAAAAAAAGGACUUUUAAAACAAUCCUUGAUGUUACUGUCAUCUCUUCAGAUAACUGAAAUAUGCAUGUUAAUAACCUGACUUAUCUUUUUGUGCUUUCACUACUACAAACUUCCAUUCAUAUCAUGGUGUAACUGGUCUGCUUCCAGUCAUCCUCACUUCUGAUUCUAAUCCUUCAUGGCCCCAUAAGCACAAAAGAAUAACAAUAAAAGCUUAUUUAUUUGUUUACCCCACUCCUUUCUAAUGUAUACAUGGGGAGUUUUUCCUCUCAUCGCCAAAGUGCUAGGUAAUAACUAUCACAUUUUCACUAUUAAUAAAAAUACCCAUCAUUAAUAUAUUUAGUACAGAUUUUACUUCAGUAAUUUUUCAUUCUUAAUAUGUAAAAGAAUUAAUAUCCAGACAUUAAAAAGCUUAAUUUGUCACACCUUUAAAUACUAACUCUUCUUUAUGUGUAUGCAGGUUCUAAGGGUAUAUGCAUAGCUGGAGGAAAAGUCUAAACUUAAUGGUUUCUUUACCCAUGGUAAAACGCUGAUUUUUGUAUAACUGCUGAGUAUCAUUUGAUAAUGAUAAAUACUACUGACACACAAAGACAAACUAAGUAUAAAUUAGAUUACAAAGUAGGGUCUUUUAAUAUUUUAUAUGAAGGCAGGUGAUUUCUGGAAGUCUGCUGAAGUAGAACAGCACCAAAGACUGCACAAUUUAUGCGCCUAUAAAUGAUGUUAGGUUAUAGUGAGGAUAUGGUGGUCUGUUCUAUGGCAAACAAAUCCCUUCCUGGGACCUCUCACUCGUGAGAGAUGUUCUGCAGGACCGAGUUUUUGACAGACCCCAUGUGCGAGCCCCGCCUGCUGGCAUGAGCUGCCGAGGUGCCCUGCCUGGGAGGCCGCGGAGCUCGGCAGAGCCGAGGCCAGAGCUGCAGUGCCUCCUGACGGAGCGAGGCAGGGCUCCUUCCCCCUUGUCCGCUGACAAAUUGCACAGCUGUGGUGUUACAUGUCAGCACUUGCAGCGCGGAUCUCCGGAGACAAACCAGGAAUGUUCUGCAUGCCAGACAGUGGCGCUGAGCCAUUACAUUGAGACAACCUUCUUGAGGGAACCGUGGGCCCUGAGUGAACAAGAGUGGGGAAUCCACUGACAUUCUGACCUGCAGCCAUGUAACCACAGGCAGUCCAGUGCAGCGAGGCCAGCUCUACAGUUGAAAGAAAAGAAGUCCUGCAAAAGUGUGCCAAAUCCACGUAGCAUUUGCUGCAUAGAUACUACAGUGAUUUCAAACAACUCAUGGCAUUUAGAUAAGGUAGGUGAGACUAUGUGUCCCUGAAGUCUGAGAUAUGCUUUCAUCGACAUUCAUGGUGAGCUCAAAGUUAUUUGAUGAUGUUUAUCAUCAUCUGGAAUACUUCCAGUGGAAAACAUGAUCUUGCUGAUCUGGAAUCUAACUCAGCUCCUGCAAUCUAUAUAUUCAGGGUAAGAGUCAACAGAGAAAUGGACAUUGACAUUUAAUGCAGAGAAGCAAAGGACUCUGAAGUUACCUGAAAUGAUCUGCUCACCUGUUGAGGUCAUCUGCUAAAAUUAGCCUUUCAGUUUAGAACCUACAGCUCUUUUUUUUUUCACUGAACUACCACUGCUGCUAACCUUUCACAGGCUCCUUCCCCUUAGAAAAUCUACAAGGACUUUAAAAGUAAUUUCCCUGUUAGGAAGCUGAAGAAUAUGCAAUAUAUAGGAUUGUAAAAUAAAUUUUGUAAAUAAUUAUCAUAGGGACUGAAAAAUGAAACAGCAGUAUUGAAAGAAAAUUAUAGAGGGAUAAAACUGCAAAAUUUUAUUAUAAUCAUGGAGGAAAACACAUAACUGUUAUUACUGUGAUGUCAAAUUAGUUUAUUGAAAUGUGCCAUCUAAGAUAGGGAAAUACUAAGAAUAAAAAAACUGUUUUGAUUUGA